GUGACCCCAUGUCAGGUAGGAUCACCCGCUGAGUUUAAGCAUAAAUCGGAUCCC
rnacentral:rRNA from 1 species